rnacentral:rRNA from 1 species
CCGGGGACCUUCGGGCCUGGCGCGAUUGGAUGAGCCCAUGUUCGAUUAGCUAGUUGGCGGGGUAAAGGCCCACCAAGGCGACGAUCGAUAGCUGGUCUGAGAGGAUGAUCAGCCACACUGGGACUGAGACACGGCCCAGACUCCUACGGGAGGCAGCAGUAGGGAAUAUUGGACAAUGGGCGCAAGCCUGAUCAGCCAUGCCGCGUGAGUGAAGAAGGCCCUCGGGUUGUAAAGCUCUUUUGUUGGGGAAGAAAAGCAGUCGGUUAAUACCUGAUUGUUCUGACGGUACCCAAAGAAUAAGCACCGGCUAACUUCGUGCCAGCAGCCGCGGUAAUACGAAGGGUGCAAGCGUUACUCGGAAUUACUGGGCGUAAAGCGUGCGUAGGUGGUUUGUUAAGUCUGAUGUGAAAGCCCUGGGCUCAACCUGGGAAUGGCACUGGAUACUGGCAAGCUAGAGUGUGGCAGAGGGUAGUGGAAUUCCUGGUGUAGCAGUGAAAUGCGUAGAGAUCAGGAGGAACAUCCGUGGCGAAGGCGACUGCCUGGGCCAACACUGACACUGAGGCACGAAAGCGUGGGGAGCAAACAGG